GACGAACGCUGGCGGCGUGCUUAACACAUGCAAGUCGAACGGUAAGGCCCUUCGGGGUACACGAGUGGCGAACGGGUGAGUAACACGUGGGUGAUCUGCCCUUCACUUCGGGAUAAGCCUGGGAAACUGGGUCUAAUACCGGAUAGGACCACUGCCUGCAUGGGCGGUGGUGGAAUGCUUUUGCGGUGUGGGAUGGGCCCGCGGCCUAUCAGCUUGUUGGUGGGGUGAGGGCAUACCAAGGCGACGACGGGUAGGCGGCCUGGGAGGGGGACCGGCCACCCUGGGGCUGAGAUACGGCCCAGACUCCUACGGGAGGCAGCAGCGGGGAAUAUCGCACAAUGGGCGCAAGCCUGAUGCAGCGACGCCGCGUGAGGGAUGACGGCCUUCGGGUUGUAAACCUCUUUCAGCACCGACGAAGCGCAAGUGACGGUAGGUGCAGAAGAAGGACCGGCCAACUACGUGCCAGCAGCCGCCGUAA
rnacentral:rRNA from 1 species